rnacentral:rRNA from 1 species
UACGAAGGGGAGCUAGCGUUGUUCGGAAUCACUGGGCGUAAAGCGCACGUAGGCGGAUUUGUAAGUCAGGGGUGAAAUCCCGGGGCUCAACCUCGGAACUGCCUUUGAUACUGCGAAUCUUGAGUCCGAUAGAGGUGGGUGGAAUUCCUAGUGUAGAGGUGAAAUUCGUAGAUAUCAGGAGGAACACCGGCGGCGAAGGCGGCCAUCUGGUGAGACACUGACGCUGAGGCGCGAAAGCAUGGGGGAGCAAACAGG